GGGCCCAUAGCUCAGCUGGUAGAGCUCCCGGCUCAUAACCGGUCGGUCCCUGGUUCGAGCCCAGGUGGGCCCACCA
rnacentral:tRNA from 1 species